rnacentral:rRNA from 1 species
CAGUCGCCACGGUAAUACGGAGGGUGCAAGCGUUAAUCGGAAUUACUGGGCGUAAAGCGCACGCAGGCGGUCUGACAAGUCAGAUGUGAAAUCUCCGGGCUUAACCUGGGAACUGCAUUUGAAACUGUCAGGCUGGAGUCUUGUAGAGGGGGGUGGAAUUCCAGGUGUAGCGGUGAAAUGCGUAGAGAUCUGGAGGAAUACCGGUGGCGAAGGCGGCCCCCUGGACAAAGACUGACGCUCAGGUGCGAAAGCGUGGGGAGCAAACAGGAUUAGAUACCCGAGUAGUCCCUGUCUCUUAUAA